AAUUCCUCCUGAUGUCCAACCUGAAUCUCCUCUGGCACAGCUUGGCACUAUAUUCUCUCAUCCUGUUACUAAUUGCCUGGGAGAACAGACUGACCCCCACCAGGCUACAACCUCCUUUCAGGUAGUUCAACACUUUGACUACAGC